UACAGAGGGUGCGAGCGUUAAUCGGAAUUACUGGGCGUAAAGCGCACGUAGGUGGCGACGUAAGUCGGGUGUGAAAGCCCCGGGCUCAACCUGGGAAUUGCAUUCGAGACUGCAUUGCUGGAGUACGGAAGAGGAAGGCGGAAUUCCCGGUGUAGCGGUGAAAUGCGUAGAUAUCGGGAGGAACAUCAGUGGCGAAGGCGGCUCUCUGGGUCGGACCUGACGCUGAGGCGCGAAAGCGUGGGGAGCGAACGGG
rnacentral:rRNA from 1 species